GCCCCCGUAGCUCAGUUGGAUAGAGCGGCGGUUUCCUAAACCGUAGGCCACACGUUCAAGUCGUGUCGGGGGCACCA
rnacentral:tRNA from 1 species